GAUGAAGAACGUAGCGAAAUGCGAUAAGUAAUGUGAAUUGCAGAAUUCCGUGAAUCAUCGAAUCUUUGAACGCACAUUGCGCCCCCUGGUAUUCCGGGGGGCAUGCCUGUCCGAGCGUCAUUGCAACCCUCAAGCGCGGCUUGUGUGUUGGGCUUCGUCCCCCCGUGGACGUGCCCGAAAGGCAGUGGCGGCGUCCCGAAUGGUUCCCGAGCGUAUGGGAACUCUCUUCCGCUCGAACCGGCCCAUUCGGCGCUGGUCGAACCCCAAUUUUUUUUUACCGGUUGACCUCGGAUCAGGUAGGGAUACCCGCUGAACUUAAGCAUAUCAAUAAGCGGAGGA
rnacentral:misc_RNA from 1 species